CCCCUCUCAGGGUAGCACCUGGAGAGUUUCCAGUAUUCUACGAGACUCGACUUUGGGAUGGAGAGUCAAGCAGAGGCAUACCCCUUCCAUUCCUAGCUUGGACAGUGGCUAGUGAGUGGAAGGCAAUCUGCUACUGCU